UAGGGGUACGGAACAACCCAGGGAAACUUGAGCUAAUACCGUAUACGUCCGUGAGGAGAAAGAUUUAUCGCCCUUAGACGGGCCCGCGUCGGAUUAGCUAGUUGGUGGGGUAACGGCCUACCAAGGCGACGAUCCGUAGCUGAUCUUAGAGGAUGAUCAGCCACACUGGGACUGAGACACGGCCCAGACUCCUACGGGAGGCAGCAGUGGGGAAUCUUGGACAAUGGGCGCAAGCCUGAUCCAGCCAUGCCGCGUGAGUGAAGAAGGUCUUCGGAUUGUAAAGCUCUUUUGCCAGGGACGAUAAUGACGGUACCUGGAGAAUAAGCCACGGCUAAUUCCGUGCCAGCAGCCGCGGUAAUACGGGAGUGGCAAGCGUUAUCCGGAAUUAUUGGGCGUAAAGCGUCCGCAGGCGGCCUCGUAAGUCUGUCGUUAAAGCGUGGAGCUUAACUCCAUUAAGGCGAUGGAAACUGUGAGGCUUGAGUGUGGUAGGGGCAGAGGGAAUUCCCGGUGUAGCGGUGAAAUGCGUAGAUAUCGGGAAGAACACCAGUGGCGAAGGCGCUCUGCUGGGCCAUAACUGACGCUCAUGGACGAAAGCCAGGGGAGCGAAAGGGAUUAGAUACCCCUGUAGUCCUGGCCGUAAACGAUGAACACUAGGUGUCGGGGGAAUCGACCCCCUCGGUGUCGUAGCCAACGCGUUAAGUGUUCCGCCUGGGGAGUACGCACGCAAGUGUGAAACUCAAAGGAAUUGACGGGGGCCCGCACAAGCGGUGGAGUAUGUGGUUUAAUUCGAUGCAACGCGA
rnacentral:rRNA from 1 species